GACGAACGCUGGCGGCGUGCUUAACACAUGCAAGUCGAACGGAAAGGCCCUGCUUUUGUGGGGUUCUCGAGUGGCGAACGGGUGAGUAACACGUGAGUAACCUGCCCUUGACUUUGGGAUAACUUCAGGAAACUGGGGCUAAUACCGGAUAGGAGCUCCUGCUGCAUGGUGGGGGUUGGAAAGUUUCGGCGGUUGGGGAUGGACUCGCGGCUUAUCAGCUUGUUGGUGGGGUAGUGGCAUACCAAGGCUUUGACGGGUAGCCGGCCUGAGAGGGUGACCGGCCACAUUGGGACUGAGAUACGGCCCAGACUCCUACGGGAGGCAGCAGUGGGGAAUAUUGCACAAUGGGCGGGAGCCUGAUGCAGCAACGCCGCGUGCGGGAUGACGGCCUUCGGGUUGUAAACCGCUUUCGCCUGUGACGAAGCGUGAGUGACGGUAAUGGGUAAAGAAGCACCGGCUAACUACGUG
rnacentral:rRNA from 1 species